AUGGGGACUUGCUCGGUGGCACACCAAGGCCGCCCCUCCCGUAAGCCCACUUUCCGUCGGGGUCUCAACAAGAUCGUCGGUGGACAGGAUGCCUCGCCAGGACAGUUUCCUACCAGCUAAGCUUCCAAGACAUUUCCUUCGGAUUUCAAUUCCACUUCUGCGCUUCCAUCUACAACGAGAACUGGGGCGUGUGUGCCGGUCAUUGCGUCCAGGGAGAGGACUUCAACAACCCUGACUACCUUCAGGUUGUUGCUGGCGAGCAAGAUUUGGACGUUGAUGAGGGUAACGAGCAGGCGAUUGUUCUGUCCAAGAUCAUCCAGCACGAAGAUUACAACGGGUUCACCAUCAGUAACGACAUUUCCCUUCUCCAACUGUCCUCCCCUCUGACCUUCAACAGCUUUGUUGGAUCUGUCGGUCUGCAGAGUGUAAAGGAGUACAUUGGAGACUGCGUUGUGUCCGGCUGGGGUACAACCUCGGAGGGAGGCAGCACUCCCUCUGUCCUUCAGUAUGUCGAUGUCCCCACUGUCAGUGACGCUGACUGUCGCGCCGCUUACGGAGAAAACGACAUCGAUGACUCCAUGAUCUGCGCUGGACUACCCGAGGGAGGAGUGGACGCCUGCCAGGGUGACUCUGGUGGACCUAUGGUGUGUGGCGGCCUCCUGACCGGCAUCGUGUCCUGGGGCUAUGGUUGUGCCCGCCCUGACUACCCCGGCGUGUACGCUGAGGUGGCCUACUUCAAGGACUGGGUCGAAGCUAAUGUUUCGUAAAAUCCAUUUUUAGCUCUAGCUGGUGUGCUGCCAGACACAAUAAAGGCGUCACAGAGAA